UCCUGACAGCCGCAUUCCGUGGCUGACACCGGCCAAGACAGGAGAAAAUCAUG
rnacentral:ncRNA from 1 species